rnacentral:tRNA from 1 species
ACAAUUUGCGGAAGUGGCGAAAUUGGUAGACGCACCAGAUUUAGGUUCUGGCGCCGCGAGGCGUAAGAGUUCAAGUCUCUUCUUC